UAAGGGUUGUUGGAGACUACGACGUAGAUAGGCUGGGUGUGUAAGUGUUGUGAGACAUUGAGCUAACCAGUACUAAUUGCCCGAGAGGCUUAACUAUACAACGCUCAA
rnacentral:rRNA from 1 species